UACUUCUCAAAAAAUACUUCUUUCAAUAAUAUAACAUGAUUCGUGCAAGAAUACUGGUGUGUAUAGUAUUGAUAUUUCUUGUGGCAUUUCCUGAUUUGAGUUGUUCCUUGGCGACUUCGCUUCAAACUGGCCUAAGACAUGGACGAAGUUAUGGCAAGCGCCGUUUCACACUGAACAACAGGAAAACACUAACAAACUACCGCCAGGCCUCAGUUUGUGAAGAAGCAAAAAAGAUCGGCUGCAUCUGUGGCGACAACAGCCAAGGAAAACGUGAAAAUAAGUACAUGUAACGGAUCAGACCUACGAACAAAAGUCAGAAAAGUCCAGCUUAAAAAAAAAAGAUAUCAAAAUCGCUAACGUUAUUAAAUAUACAUUAAUCACAAUGACUAGCAAUAGGUAGUUACAUGAUAUAAAGAAUUACACUUGAAUGGAAGAGCCAAGAUAUUUACAGGUCAUCGAAGCAAGAAUGAUGAAUGGAAUUAUUUUUGCUGAACAUUUUAACAUAAGAUAUGAAAAAUAGAUGUUUUGUACAACAUAUUUGUGAGUUCUAAGCUAGAAAAAAGCAAUGAAUUAAAUGGAUAAGUAAAAGAUA